ensembl:snRNA U2 U2 spliceosomal RNA
AUCACUUCUCGGUCUUUUGGCUAAGAUCAAGUGUAGUACCUGUUCUUAUCAGAUUAAUACACCAAUCUCAUUUUAUCUCACAUAUAAGACUCUUCACUGACUUCCCUUUGUUUCUAAGGUCAAAAUGAACAGCCUUU